GAAAGAACACCAAGAGAGAAGGGGAAAGCAUGAAAAAGGUGGAAAACCCACAGAAAAAAAGGUGGAAAACCCACAGAAAAAGGUUGUAAAACCCACAGUAAAAGGUUGUAAAACCCACAGUAAAAGGUUGUAAAACCCACAGUAAAUGGUUGUAAAACCCACAGUAAAAGGUGGAAAACCCACAGUAAAAGGUUGUAAAACCCACAGUAAAAGGUUGUAAAACCCACAGUAAAAGGUUGUAAAACCCACAGUAAAAGGUUGUAAAACCCACAGUAAAAGGUUGGAAAACCCACAGUAAAAGGUGGAAAACCCACAGUAAAAGGUGGAAAACCCACAGUAAGAUGGAAACCUCACAGUAAAAGGUGGAAAACCCACAGUAAAAGAUGGAAACCCCACAGUAAAAGUUGUAAAACCCACAGUAAAAGUUGUAAAACCCACAGUAAAAGUUGUAAAACCCACAGUAAAAGUUGUAAAACCCACAGUAAAAGGUUGUAAAACCCACAGUAAAAGGUGGAAAACCCACAGUAAAAGGUGGAAAACCCACAGUAAGAUGGAAACCCCACAGUAAAAGGUGGAAAACCCACAGUAAAAGGUUGUAAAACCCACAGUAAAAGGUGGAAACCCCACAGUAAAAGGUUGUAAAACCCACAGUAAAAGGUUGUAAAACCCACAGUAAAAGGUGGAAACCCCACAGUAAAAGGUUGUAAAACCCACAGAAAAGGUGGAAAACCCACAGUAAAAGGUUGUAAAACCCACAGUAAAAGGUUGUAAACCCCACAGUAAAAGGUGGAAAACCCACAGUAAAAGGUGGAAAACCCACAGUAAAAGGUGGAAAACCAACAGUAAGAUGGAAACCCCACAGUAAAAGGUGGAAAACCCCACAGUAAAAGUUGUAAAACCCACAGUAAAAGAUGGAAACCCCACAGUAAAAGAUGGAAACCCCACAGUAAAAGGUGGAAAACCCACAGUAAAAGGUGGAAAACCCACAGUAAAAUAUAUUAUCUCUCUCUA